rnacentral:rRNA from 1 species
GAUGAACGCUGGCGGCGUGCUUAACACAUGCAAGUCGAACGAUGAAGCCCAGCUUGCUGGGUGGAUUAGUGGCGAACGGGUGAGUAACACGUGAGUAACCUGCCCUUGACUCUGGGAUAAGCCCGGGAAACUGGGUCUACUACCGGAUAGGAGCGCCUGUCGCAUGACGGGUGUUGGAAAGAUUUUUCGGUCAUGGAUGGACUCGCGGCCUAUCAGCUUGUUGGUGAGGUAAUGGCUCACCAAGGCGACGACGGGUAGCCGGCCUGAGAGGGUGACCGGCCACACUGGGACUGAGACACGGCCCAGACUCCUACGGGAGGCAGCAGUGGGGAAUAUUGCACAAUGGGCGGAAGCCUGAUGCAGCGACGCCGCGUGAGGGAUGACGGCCUUCGGGUUGUAAACCUCUUUCAGUAGGGAAGAAGCGAAAGUGACGGUACCUGCAGAAGAAGCACCGGCUAACUACGUG